UACGUAGGUCCCGAGCGUUGUCCGGAUUUAUUGGGCGUAAAGCGAGCGCAGGUGGUUUAAUAAGUCUGAUGUAAAAGGCAGUGGCUCAACCAUUGUGUGCAGUGGAAACUGUUAGACUUGAGUGCAGUAGAGGAGAGUGGAAUUCCAUGUGUAGCGGUGAAAUGCGUAGAUAUAUGGAGGAACACCGGUGGCGAAAGCGGCUCUCUGGACUGUAACUGACACUGAGGCUCGCAAGCGUGGGUAGCAAACAGG
rnacentral:rRNA from 1 species